UCCCUGGUGGUCUAAUGGUUGAGACUCUGCACUUCCAAGGCAGGGAGCACAGGUUCCAUCCCUGGUCAGGAAA
rnacentral:tRNA from 1 species